AAGCAAUUUGCUCAUAGCCAUAGCUUUCUUGUGAAAGUAGGAUAUUAACCCAGGUGUCUUGGUGCUGGAGAACAGAACUGGCCAGAGUCCAUCCUGUCUCCCACCGGCAUCCCAUUACGAAAUGAACACAGAAAAGGCAGGUCUGCAAUGCCAACAUCUAGUAUCUAUCCCAAAGACCAGGGAGAAAGGAAGGAAAGAUUCUGGUUCUGUCCUCUUCCCCAAGGCAAGGCUGGCUGCCCUACCAACAGAGGCAAAGAGAAGAGUGUGCAAGGCUGGCUGCCCUCCCAACAGAGGCAAAGAGGAGUGUGUGUUGAAAUAUCCAUUGAAUCCCUGAGACAACUGGAUCCUGGCCCAUUGAAUCAUAAACUCAGCAGAAUCUCACAUCAUAACCCCAAAUGACCUGUUACUCACCAUGUGGCCCAGCUGUCUUCAAACUCACCAGCCUCCUGCCUUAGCCUUCUAAAUGCUUGGAUUACAGGCAUGACCCACCAUAACUGGCUUUGUUUUAGUUUCAGAGAAGAUGAAACUGAUGUGCGUCAAAAAGCUGGUAGUCUGUCAAGGAAAUGAGCUGAACAUGUCUGUGUACAGCUUUUGUGCCAUCCCUGGAUGAGCGAGCUGUCUGCCUCUAUGUUCUCCACAAAAUGGAAUAUAGCUGUACACCCAAGCCAAGUUAUGGAGGCUGGGAAGACCUAGAAUGUGGCAUCACUAUUUGGAAACCAUGCCGAUUACCGACCGAGCUCUCAAUGGAAAAAUGCAGUCGGCGUGAACCACGCACGAACACAGCAGAGAAAGAAGAAAACACACACCACGAGGAACCCUAAUAGGACAAUACAUUAUAAGUCACAGUGCUACGGAGAAACCCAGUAGCCACAUGGAAGCAGAGACCAUGCAUAUGCAUCUACUCCGCAGCUCUGUGAAUGUCAGCAGCUCCCACGGACUGGAGAUCCCGUGAGAUCCCGUGAGAUCUCACCCAUAGCCUCAUGGUACAUCCACUUGGUGUGCUGGGAGAGUCAGGAUGAGGACCUGAGAAGAACAGCAGCUUGAACCUGACUUCAUUUAACAGCCCACUGCCCUCUUGCCAAGAACCCAUCACAGACCUUCCCAGAAGAGAGGGAUGAGCCUCACCUAUGAAUAAGUCCUCAGAAACUCAAAUUUGAUUCUAAUGGAUUGUUUUCUCAGAAAGACUGAGCAUGUCCCCCCACAUCUCUGUCAUUUCCCACAGUAGUAACCUCUGCAGAUGCCACAUAGAAAACAAAACAAAACAAAAAAACAUGAGGUUGGUGGGCAGAUAGGCAGGGUAUAAACAAACAGCCUUGUAACCCAGAAGCUGUGUGAUAUACAGUAAACUUCACAACACUGAAAAGAUGUCCUAUCUGUUAAAAUGGGGUAAUAACAACUACCCGAAUGUUUAGGAAUAGAACUUCAAUAAAUGAUACAUUUUAUAGUACAGCAGACCAUCCUGUAAAGGUUUCAUCCUUCACUGUGGUGAUAAAUAUCCCAAACCACAUUGAAAAGCAUUGCAUCUACAUUUAUCUACACUGUAACUGUACUGUAAAUCAUGGGGGAGGGGAGAAUCAUAAAAACACCACCUGUCACCGUGUCAUUAAAGCAAGUUGGAAGUGAUACUUACAGAAACACAGCAAGAGCACCCCCAGUCACACAGUUCAAUCUCUUAGCAAGCGUUUUCUUUCUAGCCCAGUGGUUCUCAGUUUGGAAUUUUUGGCACUGCCUAGAGAUAGUUUUGUUGUUAAAACUGAGAAAAGAGCCGGGCGUGGUGGCACACGCCUUUAAUCCCAGCACUCAGGAGGCAGAGGCAGG
rnacentral:lncRNA from 1 species